AUUGAACGCUGGCGGCAGGCCUAACACAUGCAAGUCGAACGGUAACAGGAAGAAGCUUGCUUCUUUGCUUACGAGUGGCGGACGGGUGAGUAAUGUCUGUGAAACUGCCUGAUGGAGGGGGAUAACUACUGGAAACGGUAGCUAAUACCGCAUAAUUUCUCAAGACCAAAGAGGGGGACCUUCGGGCCUCUUGCCAUCGGCUGUGCCCAGAUGGGAUUAGCUAGUAGGUGGGGUAACGGCUCACCUAGGCGACGAUCCCUAGCUGGUCUGAGAGGAUGACCAGCCACACUGGAACUGAGACACGGUCCAGACUCCUACGGGAGGCAGCAGUGGGGAAUAUUGCACAAUGGGCGAAAGCCUGAUGCAGCUAUGCCGCGUGUAUGAAGAAGGCCUUCGGGUUGUAAAGUACUUUCAGCGGGGAGGAAGGGAGUAAAGUUAAUACCUUUGCUCAUUGACGUUACCCGAAGAAGAAGCAACGGCUAACUCCGUG
rnacentral:rRNA from 1 species